rnacentral:lncRNA from 1 species
UAUAUAUAUAUAUUGUUAAGUAAGGGGGUUUAAGUUACCCCCUCCCCGUUUAUAAAAGCCUAGAAUUGGGGUGUGGAGAGGACAUUUUUUUUCCCAUGUAACCUGAGUUAUUUAGUUAAUCAUAUGCAAGUUUUUUUUUAUUGGUUGUAUUUGGAAAUGUAUUACCCAAUGAAUAAACUUCUUGAUGGGUAUUGUAGUUAUGAUUAGUGUACAGUUAUAUUCUAAAGCGCGAGGAAGCGCCAGUUUGCACUGUUACAAGUGGGAAGUAGUAGGAUAUAUUUAAUUCCGCCAUGUAUAUACCAAAUUGUUUUUUGCAAUGAAAAGACGUGAGAUAAAGCUUGGAUUUCUAUGAUGAUGUCUGCCUCUGGGGUACCUUAAGGGAUUAGAUACCACUCAGAAUUUUGAGUUCGGCAAAUGAACCACAGAAAGGAUAACCAAAGAAACCUGGCCUUGUUACCUGAGUUAGAAAGACGAAAGUUGUUUACUCUUCUUGUCCACGCUUUCUACUGGCUUAGGGCGUCGCCAAAGAAAGAGGCUGCAUGCUGCCUGCAUAACUCGUGAGGAUAUAGUAAGGCGAGGGACAUAGUACGCCACCCAGGCGUUUCGACAGGAGUGUUUUCUCGCUGACAGCCUCCAGGAGAACCCUGCUGUCAUGGGUCUCUGUGUGGCUCACACAGAUGAAUGCAAGCAUGGAUUGCUGAACAACACAGUAACAGAGGUACAGAGUGAGGAUGAACUUACAGUGAAGAAGAGAAGGGGAAGAGGAACCAUCAUGAAACGAGAUGGAAGGCAGCAGAAAAUGGCUAAGAUAGUGGCUUGAAAGGAAAGUGAAGAGCCAGUAGAAAUGGAGGAUGAGUCAAGAGAAUGGGAUGAGGAGACAUCACUACUACCAAUAAAAAGAAAUUGGAAAAAAUUGAUAGGAAAAGCCAGUAAGUCUAAGGAAAAAAUUGUGGAGGAGGAACUAUGUAAAGAUCUUGAAAUGCAGGAAGAAGAGGAAGACAAGCCAUUAUCAGAUGAACAGAGAAAUAAGGAAGUCAAAAAGAUGUAUAAAGCCUGUAUUUAAACUAGAUGAAGAAAAGAUAGAAAUAGAUGAUGAGUCAGAGAUAAAAGGGAAAGAGGAGGACACUACUCCACCAGUCAGAAAGAAAAGAAAUGGGACAGGAGCUACUAAAUCUAAGAAGGCGGAGAAAGAAGCAAUGACUAAUAUAUUCAAGGCAAAUAAAGAAAGAGGAGCACCAAAAAUGCAAAAGGUUGCACAAGAAGGAAAUAAAACGGGUAUUAAAAAGAAAAGGAAACCAGAUGUGAAGACAGGAGAAGGAAGUCCAGCUGCUCCUUACAAGAGAGGCAAGAAGAAAGCUGAAACAACUCCAGCAUUGAUGCAAAUACAGGAAGAAGAUGAUGUGGUGUUACCAUCCUUAAAUAAGAGAAAAAGAGAACCUAAAUCAACCUCAAAGGAAAAAGAAGGUAAACAAGAUGAAGAGGAAGAUGUAAAUCCUAUCAUGUCAAAGAAGGGUGGAAGAGAUACAUCAAUAAAAGAAGGAAGUGGAAAAAGCAAAGUGGGAAGAGGAAUGAAAUCAUCUGUGAAAACAGAUGCUAAAGAAGAAAUCUCAUCUCCUCUCAGGAGGAAGAAAAAAAAAAAAAAAUGAAAAGGCAACACAAACCAUAAGCAAAAGAGGAAAGAAGCAUGAUAAGACAUCAAAG